UUACCACGGUGUGGUUCAUGACUGGGGUGAAGUCGUAACAAGGUAACCGUAGGGGAACCUGCGGUUGGAUCACCUCCUUACGAA
rnacentral:rRNA from 4 species